rnacentral:lncRNA from 1 species
AUGAUGCCUGGGGCUCCUCUUCCCUCCGAGAAUGCUUGUGCGGCCUGGGGGCGCCCGCAGGUGUGCUCCCGAGGCCUGCCGCUGCCUCUAGCUAGCACCUGGGGCCAGUUGGCAGUGCCGGCUGGCCAGCCUCCUAGAGCCAGGGCUGGCUGCAGCAGGCUCCGCGGGCAGGCGGGCGAAGGGCGAAGGGCGAAGGGCAGACGGAAGCCCAAGGGGGCCCGCCCGCCCGCUCCGCUGCGAAGCGCGCCCGCCCUGGAGGCCAGGACCCCAGGGGGCAAAAGUGGGUCUGGCUUUGCAUUGCCCGACCAGCGGGAGGGAGCCAGCCAGGGGCAGCCAGUUGCAUCCUCCCGGGAACUGCCAGGGGAGGCUUUUGGGGAGCGUGCUGCCAACUCUUGGCUUGGCCGGGGGAGACCUGCCGUCUCUGUGGCUCCAGCCAGCCAGCAGGCUGCAGGGUCGGGCGCAGCGGCCGUGGGGCUCUGGAGCUUGCUGCCCUGCCCGUGGGCGGGGCCUCCACGGGCCAGCCAGGUGGCACAGGGUUCCUGGGGCUGCGCCUCGUCCCGGCCCGGCCCGGCCCAAGGGAGGUGGGGGGAACCUCGGAGGCGCCCAGGAACGCAGGAGGGCCCAGACUGCGGCCCUGCUGGCCCUCGGAGAGGGCCCACGCGUGUCUGCUCGGGCUCAGGAGGCCACGGUGGGACAGCCAGUACCCCAGCACCGAGCUCAUCUCGCGUGGACCACCCAGUGCGCGUCAGGAGUAGGUGUGUCCCAGCAGGAGCCCCUAGGAACAGCCCUGCCCUACCAGCUCUUAGCACAGGGAGUCCUGGUCUGCACAUGCAUGAGCCAGGGAGCCAGAGAGCCAGAGGAGGACGCUGCCGUGGGCUCGAACUGUCCUCAGAGAAUGUUGGUAUGACCCGGGGAUCCAAGGGAGGUGGGGGGAACCUCGGAGGCGCCCAGGAACGCAGGAGGGCCCAGACUGCGGCCCUGCCGGCCCUCGGAGAGGGCCCACGCGUGUCCGCUCGGGCUCAGGAGGCCACGGUGGGACAGCCCGUACCCCAGCACCGAGCUCAUCUCGCGUGGACCACCCAGUGGGCGUCAGGAGUAGGUGUGUCCCAGCAGCAGCCGCCCCCCACCCCGGGCACGGCCCCUCCCUAGACAAGCCUUCCCUGUGAGGAGUCCUGGACUGCGCACGCGCGAGCCGGCGAGCCCGCCAGCCAGAGGGAGAUGAUGCCUGGGGCUCCUCUUGCCUCAGAGAAUGCUUGUGCGGCCUGGGGGCGCCCGCAGGUGUGCUCCGAGGCCUGCCGCUGCCUCUAGCUAGCACCUGGGGCCAGUUGGCAGUGCCGGCUGGCCAGCCUCCUAGAGCCAGGGCUGGCUGCAGCAGGCUCCGCGGGCGGGCGGGCGGGCAAGGGCGAAGGGCAGACGGGAGCCGAAGGGGGCCCGCCCGCCCGCUCCGCUCCGAAGCGCGCCCUGGAGGCCAGGACCCCAGGGGGCAGAAGUGGGUCUGGCUUUGCAUUGCCCGACCAGCGGGAGGGAGCCAGCCAGGGGCAGCCAGUUGCAUCCUCCCGGGAACUGCCAGCGGAGGCUUUUGGGGAGCGCGCUGCCAACUCUUGGCUUGGCCGGGGGAGACCUGCCGUCUCUGUGGCUCCAGCCGGCCAGCAGGCUGCAGGGUCGGGCGCAGCGGCCGUGGGGCUCUGGAGCUUGCUGCCCUGCCCGUGGGCGGGGCCUCCACGGGCCAGCCAGGUGGCACAGGGUUCCUGGGGCUGUGCCUCAUCCCGGCCUGGCCCAAGGGAGGUGGGGGGAACCUCGGAGGCGCCCAGGAACGCAGGAGGGCCCAGACUCCGGCCCUCCCGGCCCUCGGAGAGGGCCCACGGGUGUCCACUCCGGCUCAUGAGGCCACGGCCUGACAGCCCGUACCCCAGCACCGAGCUCAUCUCGCGUGGACCACCCAGUGCGCGUCAGGAGUAGGUGUGUCCCAGCAGGAGCCCCUAGGAACAGCCCUGCCCUACCAGCUCUUAGCACAGGGAGUCCUGGUCUGCACAUGCAUGAGCCAGGGAGCCAGAGAGCCAGAGGAGGACGCUGCCGUGGGCUCUAACUGUCCUCAGAGAAUGUUGGUAUGACCCGGGGAUCCAAGGGAGGUGGGGGGAACCUCGGAGGC